CGUUGAUCCUGCGGGAGAUUGCUGCUAUUGGGAUUCGAUUAAGCCAUGCAAGUCACGGGGACUUCGGUCACCGGCGAACUGCUCAGUAACACGUCAAUAAUUUAACCUUAGAUCUGGGAUAACCUUGGGAAACUGAGGCUAAUACCGGAUAGGAAAAAGAUACUGGAAUGUUCUUUUUCUUAAAGCUCCGGCGUCUAAGGAUGAGUUGGCGGCUGAUUAGGUUGUUGGCGAGGUAAAAGCUCACCAAGCCGAAGAUCAGUAGGAGCCUUGCGAGAGGUAGCUCCGAGAAGGACACUGAGAUACUGGUCCUAGCCCUACGGGGUGCAGCAGGCGCGAAACCUUUACAAUGCACGAAAGUGUGAUAAGGGAAUCCCGAGUGCUUAUGCUAUGCAUAGGCUUUUGCCAAGAGUAAAUAUCUUGGCGAAUAAGUGAUGGGUAAGACUGGUGCCAGCAGCCGCGGUAACACCAGCGUCACAAGUAGCAAUCAUGAUUAUUGGGCCUAAAGCGUCCGUAGCCUGUUUGGUAAGUCUUUUGUGAAAUCGUUGCGCUUAACGUAACGGUAUGCAAAAGAUACUGUCAAACUUGAAACUGGAAGGAGUUAGAGGUAUUCCAAGGGGAGCGGUAAAAUGCUAUAAUCCUUGGAGGACCGCCUGUGGCGAAAGCGUCUAACUAGUACAGCUUUGACGGUGAGGGACGAAAGCCAGGGGAGCGAACCGGAUUAGAUACCCGAGUAGUCCUGGCCAUAAACGCUGCGAGCAAGGUGUUGCAUAUUCUCCGUGAAUAUGCAGUGUCGAAAUGAAGAUGUUAAGCUCGCCGCCUGGGAAGUAUGGUCGCAAGACUGAAACUUAAAGGAAUUGGCGGGGGAGCACCACAAGGGGUGCGGCGUGCGGUUUAAUCUAAUUCAACGCAGAAAAUCUCACCAGAAGCGACGGCAGGAUGAAGGUCAGGUUAAAGGCCUUACCAGACGAGCCGAGAGGUAGUGCAUGGCCGUCGUCAGCUCGUGCCGUAGGGUGUCCUGUUAAGUCAGGCAACGAGCGAGACCUGUACCCACAAUUGCUAGCAACAUCUUGGAUUGAGCACAUUGUGGGGACUGCCUUGGAAACAAGGAGGAAGGUGCAGGCUACGAUAGGUCUGUAUGCUCCGAAUCUUCUGGGCUACACGCGCGCAACAAUGAUAAGGACAAUGGGAUACAACUCCGUAAGGAGAAGUUAAACCUCUAAACCUUAUCUUAGUUCAGAUUGAGGACUGUAAUUUGCCCUCACGACGCUGGAAUCCCUAGUAAUCGGACGUCAUCAUCGUCCGGUGAAUAUGUCCCUGCUCCUUGCACACACCGCCCGUCAAACCAUCCGAGCAGGGUUUAGGUGAGAUCUAUCUUUUAGGUAGUUCGAAUCUAAACUCAGUGAGGCGGGUUAAGUCGUCACAAGGUA
rnacentral:rRNA from 1 species